AUUGAACGCUGGCGGCAGGCUUAACACAUGCAAGUCGAGCGGGGGAAGGUAGCUUGCUACCGGACCUAGCGGCGGACGGGUGAGUAAUGCUUAGGAAUCUGCCUAUUAGUGGGGGACAACAUCUCGAAAGGGAUGCUAAUACCGCAUACGUCCUACGGGAGAAAGCAGGGGAUCUUCGGACCUCGCGCUAAUAGAUGAGCCUAAGUCGGAUUAGCUAGUUGGGGGGGUAAAGGCCUACCAAGGCGACGAUCUGUAGCGGGUCUGAGAGGAUGAUCCGCCACACUGGGACUGAGACACGGCCCAGACUCCUGCGGGAGGCAGCAGUUGGGAAUAUUGGACAAUGGGGGGAACCCUGAUCCAGCCAUGCCGCGUGUGUGAAGAAGGCCAUAUGGUUGUAAAGCACUUUAAGCGAGGAGGAGGCUACUCUAGUUAAUACCUAGGGAUAGUGGACGUUACUCGCAGAAUAAGCACCGGCUAACUCUGUGCCAGCCGCCGCAGUAA
rnacentral:rRNA from 1 species